UCUUUCCCCUCUACUCUGCCCUGGUGAGGCAACAUCUGGAGUACUGUGUGCUGUUACGGGCUUCCCAGUUCAAGAAAGACAGGGUACUACUGGAGAGUCCAGCGGAGGGCUACAAAGAUGAUUAGGGACCUGGAGCAUCACUCUUAUGAGGGAAGGAUGAGAGAUCUCGGACUGUUUAGCCUGGAGAAGAUGGAGAGGGGAUCUGUUCAACACUUACAAAUAUCUAGAGGGCAGGUGUCAAGAGGAUGGGGCCCAAUUCCUUUCAGUGAUGCCCAGCAACAGGACAAGGAGCAACACGCAUAUACUGGAACACAGGAAGUUCCGUCUCAUGACAAAAAACUUAUUGACUGUAAGGGUCAGAGCCGUAGAACAAUCUGGUUUUUGGAGUCCCCUUCUCUGGAGAUAUUCAGUCCCCAUCUGGAUACUUUCCUGUGCAAUCAACUCUAAAGAAUCUGCUUUAGCAGAGGGGUUGGACUGGAUGAUCUCCUACGGUCCCUUACAACUCCUACAAUUCUGUGACUCUGUGAUGAAAUAAUUUGAUAAUAAAUGAGAAUUAGAACAAAAACUGACUUAAGCAUGGAAAAUACAGACUGGUAUUUAUAGCACUUACACAUACACACAUAUCUAUAGGUAUAUCAUGAAACAAAUGAGGCAGAAUAGCUAAUGUUACCAGGUAGGCAUAAUGAGUAUCUCAAGUACAUACCAAGAAUGGUUUCUGAAAACAGAAGGCAAAGUACUUUCAGCAGGUGGUAUCAUUACUCGUAAAUGGUGUGCAUAUGCAUCUCUCCCUGCUUUAAACCUUACUGUUAUUGGAAGCUUUCAAGUAGUGAUGAUAUCUUAGUUGUCCCACGUCAUUUCUCACCUCAAACUGAUCAGAAUGUUGAUGUAAUGGUAAUUAUAGGGCUCUUGGGCUGCUCUUGCUAUGUAUGUUAGAGACAACUGCUUGCAAAGCAGCCCUCAGAUCACAGCAGAUCAAAGCAGCUUUAAUCCAUCCACAACCAUCACAAGCACACCUCUGUGAUUUGUGACUGCGCACAAAAAUCUGGCAUUCAAUUUCCUUGAGGCCCAAAUUUGAGACAUAUUAAUCUCCUUCAUUUCAUCGGGUGUUCAAAUGAUUUGCAUCUUAAAGGUCAGGUCCUGAGCAGCUGACAUUACCCUCCCAUACACUAGGUUUUCAGAAAUUAUAGCCAUCUGCAGCAAAAAUCCUGCAACAAGAAAAAUCAGGUAAAAUGAUUACAGAAGAUUACAGAAGCAAAAAAGAUGUGAAGAUGGAUGAAGAAACAGAAAGGAGAUAAAUAAUAUUGCCUAAAUAGCAAAGCUUGUUCAAAAUGAAUGAUUAGACUCAGUUACCGGCGUCUUUACAGGAAUGUGACAAAGUACAAUCCAAGUAUCAUUUAGAAUAGUUUAUGAACUAGAGAAAUAUGUUUAAAAAAUAGCUUAGAAACAUACAGUUCAAAGACGUAGUAUGGUAAGUAAAUCUCUUGGCAUUUUUUUAAUUCAUCCUAGCCUUGCAACCUCCUGUUUCACAAGUAAGAAUCCUGCUCUCCAACCUUCAGUGACAAUGAGUGUCGAUCAAAAAGUCAUCUUUCACUGUGCCCUAGAAUCUGCCCUGUCCAGCUUGCUGUUUUUGCUAGCCUCCAUGGAAGACAAAGCAGAGAAAAUAUCUUUUAUACUCUACCAGCAUAUAAACUAACUUUCCAAGAACCUUUGUCAGACAUAAAUCUCCCUGGAUCUCAUAGCUAUAUUUAAAAUAACAACAAAAAUAUAAAUAGUAAUGAAAUACUAUUUUGUAUCUCUGUGGCAUCAUUUAGUUGUUGAUACCAAACAUUUUGCAAUUAGACAUUACUUGCAGUACGAGAAACUUAAAAGAAUGAAAGCUAUUGGUUUGAUACUGGCAAUGCAAAGAGGUCAUAUUUUGGGUGUAAACAUUAAUUUAUUAAAUUUUUCAGACAGUUGGAGUAGAUCAACACCUAUUUUCACCAGAAGUUACCAGAUGCUAGAGUGACUCACUCUGGAUAGAAGAGCAGAUUGUCCUAAAAAAAACUUAUUACCAAGGGGAGACAGAUUUUAGAAUGUAAGAACAACAAAGAGACAGCUGCACUAUGCUGGUUAUGGAGCUAAACAUCUGAAUUUUCUGAAGUGAACCUGAACUCUGUCCAAUACACGUCCAAUACGUGCUGAGGUUAGGUAUGGGAAUUGCACUUAGCAAUAUUUUCUCUAACCACUCUGCAAAAAAUGUUUAUUUAAGCAUGAAAUCUGUUCCUUAACUUUGCUCCUAACAUGAACAAGAGUAUGUAGGUUGUGACAACGUUUUUGUUCCACAAAUUUACCUGCUCAAGAUCUUUAGCUGUACAGCAAAGUAUACUGCACAUUCAUGGGAAAAACCUGCAUCAUUUUCAUAGUCUUAUCAGACCUAUAAUACAAACAUCUUUAUUUGAACCGUGUAUUGAAAAUCACAGCUGAACAAUAAGCUCCACUCUUUAACAUAUGAGCCCUGCAACAAUUUCAAAGGCUUUUUGGAGACUGCAUAUAUAUAUUUAUUGAUAAUUUUAUUUCUAGAGUUAUGCUUUCCACAGGACCUCAAGUCACUGGAGGUGAUAACUAGUGACUUUAUGGUGACCUUGGAAGGACAGGAGAAUUUAUGUGUUGCUGCACAGCAUGAAGCAAAAUAGCUGGGAAGUGAAACAGUGGAAAAGUGGUACAAUUCAGACUUUGAUGCACAUGUGUAUGUGCAUAAAGGCUGAUUCCUGGGACAUUUGUGAAGAUAAAGGAUGCUCUUCGGUGGAUUAUGAACCCCCAUCAGUAGAAGGUACCAACUCAAAGUAGAAACAAAGAAAGGACAGAGAGCAACUCCACAGAACUGACAAAAAAUUAACUCAAAAAUUUCCCUCAAGAAGUCGACACCAAAUGUAAGAAACUACACAAGCUACCUGCCGGGAACGGGGCUCAGUGAAGUUAAACAGAGAUGUCUUCUACCUAAUUUAAGAAAACAGUGCCCUAAGAAGACACACUUGUUUCUUUUACCCUCUUUUCCUUGUAGUUCAAAGAGUUUAAAGAACUCUGAAAAUGAGCGGUCUGUUUGUGACAGGAAGCAGAAUAAAAGUGGAAAGACAAAAUGUCUCUAUUGGAAAUGAGCUGAGGGAGAAGGAGAGGAGAUUGUGCACAUGGACUUAAUGUUAAAUGAGGAAAUGCAGAGCAGGCAUUUUAUCACCAUUAGUAUUACUUGCUCCUCCAAAACCUCCUAUUCAAUAACACUGGUGUCAUGCAGACUCAAAGGUUCUGCCUAGGCUAAAUAAAACCCUAAAGGAUAUUAAAAGCAUAGCCACUCUUGAAAAGUCAUAGCAGACUGGGAGUUAGUUAGAUAUACUACAGACUGUAUUUUCUAAAACCAGUUUGCAUAGUACAGCUAACUCGAGCAGAUUUCUCAAUGUUUUAAUUUACAUUAAGCACAAUAAUUGCAUUAAAUAGAUUUACAUAUGCUUGUAAUAAUUCUUGCAGAUGAGAUAGGUGCUGGUAACUUUGUCAAAAUGAUAUUAUGUAUCAAAAAUUAUACUAAGGCAUAUUUAAGAGCCAUUGAGUCCCGAAAGAAAAUGAAAAUUCACAGUGAGACCAGACAGAGUGAAUUAAAUUUUAAUUUGUUCACUGCUAACUCUGAAGUUUCCAGUUGUUCAUAUGUUUAACAUGUUUCAGGUCAGGCUUAAUUUUGUAUUUCAAAAUUCAUUUUUUUUUAAACUGGAAUAGUAUUUGUCACACAGAAUUAAAUAUUGUAAGCUUUCAAAUGUAUAAAUAUUAUUUCAAGUUUUUGGUGUGAACUUAAGAUGAGUUGCUGAACAAUUCAUGAUUUCUUUGUAACUGACUCAUGAUUACUUUCCGUAUUUCUGUUAGAGAAAAAAUGAAGGGAAAGAAAGAAGAGAAAACAUUAAUCAGAACAAUUUAAGAUUAAGUAGCCAGUUACUUUUACUAUUAUUAUUUUCUUAUGCCUUUUUUAGAAAGGAAAUCAUUUGCUUUUUUAGAAAGCAAAUCAUGUCAUGAAAGUCACUGACUUCAGCAAAGUUAAUUCUGCAUAUACCAUGACUGACCAUAAAUCACAUUGUCAUGAAAGAAUGGGAACACGUUUAAGAAAACAGUAGUUUCCAAUCCUUUCAGUAAGGUGGCAAGAUAGAGCCACUGUCCUUUCUGUGACCAAUAACCAGACCUACAGAAAAAAAGCAAACCCGCCGUACAACAUGUGGGCAAAAGACUCAACAGAGUUGUUCUACAGAAUGCAUACACACAGAUAAACAUCCUGAGGGGUCCAUAAGAAAUGAGGCUAUUACAAAUGGGGCAUAGGCCAGAAGAUUCAAUGUAGUGGGUUGUAUUCAGUAUACAGGAUACUUGCUCAGCAUCCAUUCAUAAGUCACAUUUUGUUUUAAAGAAUCAUUAUGUUUGAGGACAGGUCAAUUUAUGAAGUCUCUAAACUGGACACACUAGGAGUAUUUGAAGAAACGUUUCCCACAUUUUAGCUGUUUUCCAAGUACCCACCUAUGAUGAUAGUUAGCUUGCCUGGGCCUUAGGCAGAAUGGCUGUUCCGUGGUCUUGGAAAUCUGAUUAUGCAAGAACACUGUGAUUUAAGUUACUAUAAAUUACCUCUAGCAAAAUAGUAAGCUCUUUGGAUAACUUUGAACACAAUUUCUAUUUUCAUGCCUUGUAUUAUUUGGACUAUUACAUAAAUUUAAAUAAAGUACCACUGAGUGCUAAAA